GUAAAAAGUCGUGCGCAUUAAAAUUAAAUAUGGCGCUUUAUAAUGACAGUUAACUGUAGUCGUUGCCUGUCAACUAAAUAUCUCAAACAUGGAGUACAAGCCAUAUAAUUGUCAUGUAUCUAAUAUUCAGGAUUCUACGUCAAAAUUACAAAGUGGAUAAGAACUGGGAAAGAGGCAAGAAUAAAAAAUGAGGUCUUCUGUCUAAUAUUCAGAUUCUACAUCGAUGUUACCAAGUGGCUAAAGACUGGUAAAGGUCUGUCGAUUAAAUAAGAGGUCUUCUGUCUAAUAUUCAGAUUCUACAUCGAUGUUACUAAGUGGCUAAAGACUGGAAAAAGUCUGUGGAUUAAAUAAGAGCCCUUACCACUUUGUUCUUGACAUGAUAAACGUUGGAAAACGAUCCAGAGCCCAACUGAUGCAAAACUUCAUAGUCCGAAAGGUGUAGUUGGUACUCCAUGUUCUCGGUCAAAUUCCAGACAAUGUGUUUAAUAACUUCUGGUUCGUGAUCCUGUGGAUAGCUGUUACUUCUUUUAAUUUUACCACACACAAUGUGAUCGGGGUAACUUGCGAUUACAAUUUCUUCCGACCUAUGCUGAAGGGGACAAAAACUGUUCAACUACUUGGUCUCCAUACAUUAACACAACUUGUUGACUGUUAUGCACGGGCAAGACUUACUUUGACGAGAGACAUGCGAUUCUUAAUGGCGUCAAAAAUCGUACGUUAAAAAUGUCUAAGAUUAAUAACACGGAUAAUGUGCAAUUUUGAAACCGCAGCUUCUGUAAUCAGAAACUAAAUAAUGAAUUGGAAAAUCAGAAACGUUUCUUAAGGCACUGUCGAUUGGAUUCACCUGAAAUCUGGAGAAGCACAAGGCUGGAGCAUGUACUCGUCAGAAGUUUGGGAAGCAAAGUGGCCUAUGAUCAGCAACAGCGAGUUCUAUUUGAAAUGGAGCGGUUGACUGUAUGGUUGCCAACUAAAUUCGGUGAUAAACUAAAAAGCCUCAAGUCUGGGCGGCACAUUCAAAAUGAUAACGUUUGUAUUUAUUUUGAUUAUUAAUAUGAGACUGAAAAAUCAUCCGCUGAAAACAAUAUUGUGCCAAAACUCGAAAUUGAGAAAGUUUUUAUCAAAUUAGAUUUUAAAAAGUAAUCAAAACUCUCCCUGUAAUUUAUUAAGUUAUUACACUGGUAAUUAAAGAGGAAUUUAAAUUUGAAGGGGAGAUCUUUAAAAUUAAAAUUAUAAUAAAUUAAUCCACGAUUAUUACAACAUAUUAAUUAUUCUU